rnacentral:misc_RNA from 1 species
UCCGGCUUGUCACCGGCAGUUUCUCCAGAGUGCCCGGCCGAACCGAUGGCAACUGAAGAUGAGGGUUGCGCUCGUUGCGGGACUUAACCCAACAUCUCACGACACGAGCUGACGACAGCCAUGCAGCACCUGUCACCGGUCCAGCCGAACUGAAGGACUCCAUCUCUGCGAGGUUCCUGGCAUGUCAAGGGUAGGUAAGGUUUUUCGCGUUGCAUCGAAUUAAUCCACAUCAUCCACCGCUUGUGCGGGCCCCCGUCAAUUCCUUUGAGUUUCAGCCUUGCGGCCGUACUCCCCAGGCGGGGCACUUAAUGCGUUAGCGCCGGCACUCGGAGGGUCGCUCCCCCAAGCACCUAGUGCCCAUCGUUUACGGCGUGGACUAC